rnacentral:rRNA from 1 species
GAUGAACGCUAGCUACAGGCUUAACACAUGCAAGUCGAGGGGAAACGGCAUCGAAAGCUUGCUUUUGAUGGGCGUCGACCGGCGCACGGGUGAGUAACGCGUAUCCAACCUGCCCAUCACUUGGGAAUAACCUUGCGAAAGUAAGACUAAUGCCCAAUGACAUCCCACGAAGGCAUCCGAAUGGGAUUAAAGAUUUAUCGGUGAUGGAUGGGGAUGCGUCUGAUUAGCUUGUUGGCGGGGUGACGGCCCACCAAGGCAACGAUCAGUAGGGGUUCUGAGAGGAAGGUCCCCCACAUUGGAACUGAGACCCGGUCCAAACUCCUACGGGAGGCAGCAGUGAGGAAUAUUGGUCAAUGGGCGAGAGCCUGAACCAGCCAAGUAGCGUGCAGGAUGACGGCCCUAUGGGUUGUAAACUGCUUUUAUAAGGGAAUAAAGUGGGUCACGUGUGACUUUUUGCAUGUACCUUAUGAAUAAGGACCGGCUAAUUCCGUG